CGGCGACAGCGGCUCGGCAGCCGGGCCACAGCCCCGCCGGGCUCCGCGUCCGCCUCUGCAGGCCGGGAUGUGCCGGGGGAGCACCGGGAGGGCCCCGGGGGAUGCUCCAGGAUUGUGCCAGGAUUGCCCCAGGAUUGUCUCAGAAUUGUCCCAGGAUUGUCUCAGAAUUGUCCCAGGAUUGUGCCAGCAUUGUCAGGAGUCAUUUGAUGCCACUAAUCAUGGCUGUGAUCCGGCACGCCGGGAUGUGUAAUGACAACGCUGAACAGGAAAAAUGGCACUCGGAUCCUGCGCUCUUCCCGCUCUAAUCUAUAUUUUACCACAUCUUUCUACCUAAUGAUACUUAUAACUGUUAAUAAAUGACUACUUAGGCAC
rnacentral:lncRNA from 1 species